UCUCUAUUCCUUUUCUUCCCCUCACCGCUACUUCUCCAUUCUCUCUUAUUCUGUUCCAAACCAAACCGAUACCCUAAUUCAAUUAUCGUCCCUUUUCCAUUUUCAUCUCUUUUAUGUGCCGUCACCACUGAUUCUAUCCUGAAUCAAUGGGUAAAUUGUAGAGGCGAUUUUUUUAUGAAACUAGGGUUUUUGAUUUUAAAUAUUUGAUUUGAACUGCAACCCUAUUUAAUUUGUUUUUGAUGUUGUAGGGUUGUUGUUGUAAAGCACAUCACAGGUUUCAGAGAAAGAAGAUGCUUCUGCUGCUCUGGAUAAUAUGUAUAAUGCUGAGCUUUUUGGAAGAGUUUUUACUGCUAAUUAUGCUUUGCAUAAGAAAAUUAAAGGUGCGGAACAGGGUCGGGUUGCAUAACCAAUCAGGCAGUAAAUUGAGAACUCCUUUGAGAUUCUGGAGCAUCCAUGUUAAAUGUCAAUUGUAUUUGUUCGGAGAUUAUUGUCUUUUGGUUCAGUUGGACAGUUCGAAUCUUCAUUGGCAUGCUAUGUUGAGAACCUGAAACUUCCCCCCUGAAACUAUAGUGUAAUAGUUUGGGCAGAUGCGGGUACAUGGUUUGAGCGCCGGCAACAAAAAAAAUGCUACGUGUAUGGGCAGAAAAUCAUGCUAAAAUGGAAAUAUAGGAAGAAGUUAGUUGACUAAACGACAGUUAUUGGAAUACCCUACUGAUUGAGCUGUCAUUAUCGGUAGGGUGCUAUAGCUAAUCUUAGAUUUUUCGUUUACUAUGUGGUUAUUGCUUUGUCUUUGCAAUAAAAGGGUUUUGUCCUCCAAUCCAUAUAGAUGAUGAUGGUAUAACUAGAUAUCUGAUAUAACUUAGUAUAAAGUUGCUUUCUGCUGUGGAUAAUAUGGAUAAUGUUGAGCUUUGUGUUACUGCAGUUUGGGCCAGCAAAAGAAAAUAGAAGUUUUGCGCAAAAUAAUUUUUACCAGCUCUUGGUAUUACUAGCUGUACUAAGAGGAAUGUAAAUAUAUAUCUUUAUUUCAUAUGUUCUUUUUGUUGUUGGUUUAA